rnacentral:rRNA from 1 species
GGCUCUUUGAAUUUUUAUAGAAUAAAGAGUCUGGCCUGCCCGGUGAAUAUUUUAACGGCUGCAACGAGAGUUGUGCUAAGGUAGCGUGAUAAGUUGUCUUUUAAUUGGAGAAUGGUAUGAAUGGUUUAACGUAGAAUAACUGUCUUUGGAAAAUAAAAUUAAGUUUCCAUUUAAGUGAAAAGGCUUAUAUUUUUGUAAAAGACGAGAAGACCCUGUCGAGCUUAAUUAAAAUUGUUUGUUUAUAUCAAUUAGAAUUUUUAUUGGGGCAAUAUAAAUCAAAAUAACGGUUUAAUAAUUAGAUAAAGAUCCUUGUCGAAAGAAAAUAGCAAAAGCUACCGCAGGGAUAACAGCGUUAUCCUUCUUAAGAGAUCGAAUUGAGAGAAGGGUUUGCGACCUCGAUGUUGGAUUAUAGAAACUUCUUGGUGCAGCAGCUAUGAAGGUGAGACUGUUCGUCUUUUAAUUCUAU